GUGCGCUGAGCGGUUAGGCUCACUAGCCAGCCAGUGUGUCGAGGGAGCAGAGACCAGCGGACAUGGCGGGGCUACGGACUGUGCUGCUUCUCGCGCUGCUCUUCGUCGCUUCGUGCCACCUCUUCUCAGCAGCCGGCGCUGGUGCGGUGAGGAUGAAGCGCGGGACCUGUGACAACAGCAUCGACGCCGUGAACACGGUGGCAUGCAACACCUACUGCGUGGCCCAGCUCAACGGCUACUCUGGGGGCAAGUGCUUCCUUGGCACCUGCAUCUGCCACAAGUAGACAUCUUCUCCCUCCGUGGACUAACAAACAAGUGUCGCUAUCAUCAUGCCCAUACGUUGUAAUGUUGCUUUUGUAACUGUACUUGUAGCCAUCAGUCCCAAGAGUGGGGUGAUGCUGUAGUGGCAGAUACACAGUGUAUAGCUUGCAAAUUAGUAUCAAAUAAAUAACAACAGAUACUUAGAACAAAA